UGGGGAAUAUUGCACAAUGGGCGCAAGCCUGAUGCAGCCAUGCCGCGUGUAUGAAGAAGGCCUUCGGGUUGUAAAGUACUUUCAGUCGGGAGGAAGGUGUCAAGGUUAAUAACCUUGGCAAUUGACGUUACCGACAGAAGAAGCACCGGCUAACUCCGUGCCAGCAGCCGCGGUAAUACGGAGGGUGCAAGCGUUAAUCGGAAUUACUGGGCGUAAAGCGCACGCAGGCGGUUGAUUGAGUCAGAUGUGAAAUCCCCGGGCUUAACCCGGGAAUUGCAUCUGAUACUGGUCAGCUUGAGUCUCGUAGAGGGGGGUAGAAUUCCAGGUGUAGCGGUGAAAUGCGUAGAGAUCUGGAGGAAUACCGGUGGCGAAGGCGGCCCCCUGGACAAAGACUGACGCUCAGGUGCGAAAGCGUGGGGAGCAAACAGG
rnacentral:rRNA from 1 species